CACUUCAUCCUUACCGACGAUCUGAAAUUAUCGACUCUUUUCCUCUUCUUAUGUCGAAUGUUUACCAGUAGUUAAAAAACUGGAGAGUGAUUAUGUACACAUUAGAUCAUUGCGCGAUGUUCGAUUUCAAUUGGUCAUCUAUCUUCCAUAAUGUCAUCAUGGAGAUGAUCUUUAUGAAACUCUUGUGGAUAACUAUACUAACAUGCAGUAGUGAGUCAUAACCGCCAGUCGUGCGUAGCAAUUCGCGAGCAUCGCAGCACUGCAGCGUCGUAGUUGCGUAAUUGAAUUUUUACAAUCGUUUGUUUGUGACUUAAUUCUGGCAAAAAUUUGAGACAAUAUUUAUCAUGGAAUACUGGACGAUACUGUUAUCCGUCGCGAUAGGAGCUCUCAGCAUCCAUUAUCUCUUCAAACAUUUUAAUUUCUUUAAAAGACACGGUCUAAUUCAUGCGCCGUCUAUUCCGAUAUUAGGCUGCAUGGCGCCGGUAUUGUUUCGCCAAACGUCAUUCACUGAAAUUCUGCAGGAUGUGUACAAUUACAAUCCGGACGCUAAGUACUUGGGAUUUUACGGUAUGACGCAACCUAUCAUCAUGCUUCGUGAUCCGGAGCUCAUCAAAGAGAUACUCAUUAAGAAUUUCGACUCAUUUCCAAAUCGUCGUGGUUUCGUGGAGAUCAACGAUCCCUUAUCGGCAAAGAAUUUAUUCUCUCUCAGGGAUCAAAAGUGGCACGACGUAAGAACUUUAUUAAGCCCAGCCUUCACGACCAGCAAGUUGAAGGCCAUGUUUGUAUUAAUGUCGGAGUGCGCUGUAGACUUCACCGAGUUUCUAUCGGAAACAUCGGCGGAUAAAAGUGAGAUCGAUAUGAAAGAUGCCUUCACUAAAUUCACGACUGAUGUCAUCGCAACGUGCGCCUUCGGAAUUAAGGUAGACACUAUGAGAAAUCCAACGAACAGAUUUUUCAUCUACGGCAAAGAAAUAACCAACUUCCAAGGGGUUCGGGGGAUAAAGUUUCUCACUUUCAAAAUGUUCCCGAAACUAGCUCAUUUCCUCGGCUUGAAGAUGAUAAGCGAGAAAAUAGUGAAUUUCUUUAAGAACAUCGUAGAAACCACAAUUGUGUCGCGCGACGCCGAGAACAUCACCCGUCCGGAUAUGAUACAACUUAUGAUGGACAUGAGAGGCAAACGCGGGGCCGAGAGAGAAUUGAGUAUCGAAGACAUGACCGCCCAGGCAUUCAUCUUUUUCUUCGCCGGUUUCGAUAGCAGCGCAACCGUGAUGUCCUUCGCGGCUCAUGAGAUCGCGAUUAAUCCGGACGUUCAGGCGAAAUUGUGGCGAGAGAUCGACGAGGUUCUGGAGGAAUCGAACGGGAAAGUCACUUAUGAGGCCAUUAAUCGGCUGAAGUAUUUGGAUGCGGUAUUGAGCGAAACUCUCAGGAUGUAUACAGCACCUUUCAUAGAGAGAGAGUGCGAGAGAGAUUACGAAUUGCCUCCCACGUUGCCGAACGAGAAACCGUUUACUUUGAAGAAAGGUAUGCUUGUCUGGAUGCCGAUUUACGCGAUUCAUCGUGACGGGAAGUACUACGAUGACCCGGAAAAAUUUCGCCCGGAGAGAUUCUUGGACAACAACGUUUACCACAAUUCUUCGUGUUACAUACCAUUCGGACUAGGGCCGCGUAUUUGCAUAGCUAAUAGAUUCGCUCUGUUGGAGAUUAAAGUCUUGCUGUUUCAUCUAUUAGCGCGAUGCGAGUUAAGACCUUGCGCGAAGACCACGUUAAAAUUGAGCAAGAGUUUGGCGAUAAUGCUGGAAGGCGGAUUCUGGUUGAACGUUAAACGCAGAAGCGAUGUACACCCUAUGAUUGAUGUUGGAUCAACGACGCCUGACGACGACGUGAUUAAUUCUUGAAGACAUUUAAGCACCCUGUAAGUUAAUUUUAAAAUCGUUGUCAGAGAUUAUUUCCGAAGUCCUACAUUUAGUUUAGUUAUAUAUGGAAAAGAGUGACCGUCCACGCAUUUUCUUCAGGAACGAAAAGAUCGGAUAAAUUCAGAAGCUAGUCGUGGCAUUUCUGACACCUUCCAUCGAUCCAGGAGACCAGAAACCAGUUACGUUGUUCUGAACGAGAGAAAAGAGCGUUUUCCUAUUCAUCGCAUCAGAACGCUGUGUGUUCAGGAUAUUAAUAGAUAUAUAAGCACGUAAUAUUAUUUAAUAUUAAGUAAUAUUUCUGGAAUAUUAAUAGAUAGUUAUACG